rnacentral:lncRNA from 1 species
CUUCCUCUCUCUCCAUAAAUAACAUUAAUAAAACUUAGGAAGGUUAAAUUAAAAAAAAAAUCCUUAGGGCAGAGAAAAAGAGUCAAGGAGUCAUACUUCUUUCCUGCCGUAUUCUGGCUGUAGAGCAUGUGUAUAAGUUGGAAAAUGAUUGCAGGACCAUGGGAAAAACAUAUUUCUUAACUUGCAAACUUUAAGCUCUGCCGGUGUGCCUCUAUCAGCCUAGGCUGGCAUAAGCUGCACUAACCACCCUCACAUCUUGACCCCUUAUAAAAAUAAACAUUUAUUUUUCACUACAGAACAUCUCCGUUGUGAUUCCGGCGCAGUGUUCUUCCACAUUUUUUCCAGUUGCUUCCCUGCCUACAAGGCAGUCCAGUACUGCUGGUCUUAGGGCAGGAGGCAUUAACGCGCAGUGUCCGGCUCUCAAGCCAGGUGGGUAUACCUGUCACCUCUGCCGACGUUUCAUUGGCCCACUCAAGUCACGUGCCUCUGGCUGAGUUGACCCGCACGUCUCCCUGCGGCAUCGCAGGGGUUGCCUCAAAGUGAACGCGAAGGCCAGUCCGCCGCGGCCCCGUGGCACCGCCUCAGUCGUUUCCCAGAGUCCGCAGAGGCGGGUUCAGGAUCCGGCCUUGCUGCGAGCGGUGGUGUGGGUCGCAGCCACGCUCGGAUCCCGCAUCGCUGUGGCUGUGGGGAGGGCCGGCAGCGCAGCUCGGAUUUGACCCCUCGCCUGGGAACCUGCCCUAAUUUCUGCACACAUAGGCAUAUGCCUGAAUGCGAAUGGAACAGCGACCGUUUUUGUUUUCAGAUUUACAUUUCUCAUGCUUACCACCAAGACUCACUGCCUUUUAUCAUCAGUAUUGAUGGAGUGUUUCCAGGGUACUCGGCAGAGUACAACAUGCAGAAUAUAUUCCCUCUGCUCUUAAGGAGCUAUGUUCUAAAAAGCUGUAUACGUGCCUGCUUGUUUUUAAAAAUGGGCUUUGCACUUACAGGUUUUGGUCACAGCAAAAUGGAGGGGAAGGGAGGGCGGUUUCCCGCGCAUCCCCCGAGCCCACACACGCGCAGCCUCUCUCAUCAUCCACACCCUCCGCUGGCUGGUACGUUUGUCUCAAUCGAUGAGCCUGCACUGACACAUCCUUGUGGCCUGAAGUCCAUGGUUCCCAGUGGGAUCCACUCUCGGUGGUGGACAUUGUCUGGGUUGGAACCCAUUUAUGCUGACAGGUAUCCAUCGUUGUGGUAUCAUCAAGAGUAGUUUUCAUGGCCCUGAAAACCCUUUGUGCUCCGCUUACUCAUCCCUCCUGGCCCCCUAGUCCUGGCAACCACGGAUCUUUUUACUGUUUUUCUGGUUCUGCCUUUUCUAGAAUGUCCUAUACUUGGAACUCUAUUCAGACUAGAGUCUUUUCCCUUCGUCUUAGGAUUUUGUUUCCUGCGUAUCUGUUAAUGACUGGAUGGCGCCUUUCUUUUCAGCACUGUUGAAAAGGCAUUGUCUGGGCACGACAGUGGGUUCAUUUCCUGAAGGACAUCUUGGUUGCUUCCAGUUUUUGGCACUUCUGAAUAAAGCUCCUAUAAACAUUGGUGUGCAGGUUUUUGUGUGGAUGUAAAUUUUCAACUUCUUUCAAUAAAUUCCAAGGAGCGAGAUUGCUAGAUCAUGUGGUUAGGAUGUUUAGUUUUAUGGGAAACCAUGGAACUGUCUGCCAGAGCAGCUGUACUCUUCUGCAUUCCCACCAACAGGAGUUGUAGUGUUCUGCAUUUUGGCCAUUCUCAUUUCUCAUGGUUGUUUUUUGUUUCUUUGUUUGUUUUUGCUUUUUAGUGCUGCACCUGCGGUAUAUGGAAGUUCCCACGCUAGGGGUCGAAUCGGAGCUAUAGCUACAGCAACACAGAUCGAGUCUCAACUGCAACCUGCACUGGAGCUCGCGGCUGGAUCCUUAACCCACUGAGUGAGGCCAGGAGUCAAGCCUGCAUCCUUGCGGAUACUAGUUGGGUUCGUUACUGCUGAGUCACAGUGGGAACUUCCUCAUUGUUUUUUAAUUUGUGUUUUCCGGAUGACAUAUGAUGUAGAGCAUUUUUUUCAUAUGCUUAUUUGCUGUCUUUAUAUUUUUGAUGAGGUGUGUUUUAUGAUAGGUUAAUUUAAAAUUUUUAUGUUUUAUUAUUGUUGAAUUUUAAUAAUUAGUCUUUUACCGGUCUUUUACAUUUUUUGAAGAUAUUUUCUCCACGUCUGUGGCUUGUGUGUUCGAAAACUUCCUAACAUUGUCUUUGCCAAAAAAAAAUUUAAUUUUGAAUAAGUCUAGCCUACCAAUUCUUUCUUUCAUGGAUCAUGCCUGUGGAUCAUGGCUGUGGUGUUGCAUCUAAAAAGUCAUUUGCCAAAUGUUAAGUCAUCUAGAUUUUCUCUUAUGUUUUCCUCUAGGAGUUUUAUAGUUUUGUAUUUUACAUUUUGGUCUAUGGUCUACUUUUUUUUUUUUUUUUUUUUGCCUGUGAAUAUCCAGUUGUUCUAGUACUAUUUUUAAAAAAAAGAACACAUUUUUUUUUCGUUGAAUAAUUCUUUAAAUUUUUAAAAAAUGUUUAUACAAUUUUUAAAAGUUACAGUUCAUUUACAGUUAUUACGAAAUUUUGACUACAUGCUUUGUGUUGUGCAGUGCAUCCGUGUAGCCUCUCUUACAUCCACUGUUUUGUACCUCCCACUCCCCU